UCCCCUUUCUCUGUAGUAAGAGAACCUGGGUUUUAUUAGAGGCAGCAAGCACCCAGACAGAACACUGUGGUUCCCAGCCUCCUUUGCAGCUUGAGGACACAAACAGAAAUUGUUAGGAGGACUGCUGGAAAGUUCCAUCAGAAACAGAUAGACAGCUCAAUCUGUCCCUUUUUACUCUUUGCUCAUAUGUUCUGACCUUCUUAGAAUCAUGUAUUCACAGUCCUGGCAGCAGUGGCUGAGACCAUAGGUCAACCUUGAAGAUGGAAACCACAUGAUAGUGACAAUAAAACUGGACAGCAGAAGGACCCUGGGUCCCUGAUGACAGUCUCCGAACAGGUGGUUCUACCUGUGAAUGAAGCCAUGCUCAGAGAGGACCAGUACUGCAAGGCAGCCUUCGUAUCAGGUGCCGGGCACCGUGGGAGAAGCCUUUAUGUUUUCACAGUGACCCUAAGGAGAAGGCCUUAACGAUUCCAUUUUGCAGUGACAGCCAGUGCUUCUGAGAUGCUCACUUGUGACAGAAUGUACCACCCAGAACAAGGAGCAGCCUUUCCCCAGACCCGGAGCUCGCCAGCCUUGUGCCCUGCCAUCAUUUGCACCAACUCUGACAGACAGCCUCGUCCAAGGAACGUGGGCUUUGGAGUCAAGCAUUAGGACAUUGGCUGCAAAUCACAGACCUGAAGAGUGACAGUUCCAGAAUUUGAG
rnacentral:lncRNA from 1 species